rnacentral:SRP_RNA from 1 species
UAUAUAAGCCAUUGCAAUGAGUGCCGUUGAAUUUGGUCAGGAUCGGAAGAUAGCAGCCAUAAGAUGUGUUCCUCAUGUGUAGUGGCACUUUUCGUAAG